UACGUAGGUGACAAGCGUUAUCCGGAUUUAUUGGGCGUAAAGCGCACGCAGGCGGCUGAUUAAGUCUGACGUGAAAUCUCUCGGCUUAACCGGGAGCGGUCGUUGGAAACUAAUUGGCUUGAGGCGAUGAGAGGGGUGUGGAAUUCCCGGUGUAGUGGUGGAAUGCGUAGAUAUCGGGGGGAACAUCAGUGGCGAAAGCGGCUUCCUGGUCCAGCACCGACGUUCAGGCACGAAAGCGUGGGGAGCAAACAGG
rnacentral:rRNA from 1 species